rnacentral:rRNA from 1 species
GUAGUGUAGUCCGGAUUGGAGUCUGCAACUCGACUCCAUGAAGUCGGAAUCGCUAGUAAUCGUGGAUCAGAAUGCCACGGUGAAUACGUUCCCGGGCCUUGUACACACCGCCCGUCACACCAUGGGAGUGGGUUGCAAAAGAAGUAGGUAGCUUAACCUUCGGGAGGGCGCUUACCACUUUGUGAUUCAUGACUGGGGUGAAGUCGUAACAAGGUAACCGUAGGGGAACCUGCGGUUGGAUCACCUCCUUA